rnacentral:rRNA from 1 species
UACGGAGGGUGCGAGCGUUGUCCGGAAUCACUGGGCGUAAAGGGCGCGUAGGCGGCAUGCCAAGCGUGUGGUGAAAGCCCGGGGCUCAACCCCGGGUCGGCCGUGCGGACUGGCGUGCUCGAGCACUGUAGGGCGGGUGGAAUUCCGGUGUGAGCGGUGGAAUGCGUAGAGAGUCCGGAAGAACACCGGUGGCGAAGGCGGCCCGCUGGGCAGGAAGACGA